UACGUAGGGGGCAAGCGUUGUUCGGAAUUACUGGGCGUAAGGGGCUCGUAGGCGGCCAACUAAGUCAUACGUGAAAUCCCUCAGCUUAACUGGGGAACUGCGUGUGAUACUGGAUGGCUUGGAUUUGGGAGAGGGAUGCGGAAUUCCAGGUGUAGCGGUGAAAUGCGUAGAUAUCAGGAGGAACACCGGUGGCGAAGGCGGGUCUCUGGGCCGAUACUGACGCUGAGGAGCGAAAGCGUGGGGAGCGAACAGG
rnacentral:rRNA from 1 species